rnacentral:ncRNA from 1 species
AACCUGGUUGAUCCUGCCAGUAGUCAUACGCUUGUCUCAAAGAUUAAGCCAUGCAUGUCUAAGUAUAAACAAUUUUGUACUGUGAAACUGCGAAUGGCUCAUUAUAUCAGUUAUAGUCUACUCGAUAGUACCUUACUACUUGGAUAACCGUAGUAAUUCUAGAGCUAAUACAUGCAUAAAUACCCAACUGUGUAUACGGGCGGGUAGCAUUUAUUAGAUUGAAACCAAUGCAGUCUUCGGGCUGGUGUUGUGUUGAAUCAUAAUAACUGUGCGGAUCGUGCUUUGCGCGAUAAAUCGAUUGAGUUUCUGC